rnacentral:rRNA from 1 species
GGAGGGGCCUGCGGCCCAUCAGCUAGUUGGUAGAGGUAACGGCCUACCAAGGCGAAGACGGGUAGGGGACCUGAGAGGGUGAUCCCCCACAAUGGAACUGAAACACGGUCCAUACACCUGCGGGUGGCAGCAGUAGGGAAUAUUGCUUAAUGGGCGAAAGCCUGAAGCAGCAACGCCGCGUGGACGAAGAAGGCCUUCGGGUUGUAAAGUUCUUUUAUAUGGGAUGAGGAAGGACAGUACCAUAUGAAUAAGUCUCGGCUAACUACGUGCCAGCAGCCGCGGUAAAACGUAGGAGACGAGCGUUAUCCGGAUUUACUGGGCGUAAAGAGCGUGUAGGAGGCAAUACAAGUUGGAUGUAAAAGCUCUCGGCUAAACUGAGAGAGGACGUUCAAGACUGUAGAGCUAGAGGAAGGCAGAGGUAGAUGGAACUCCGGGAGUAGUGGUGAAAUGCGUAGAUAUCCGGAAGAACACCAGAGGCGAAAGCGAUCUACUGGGCCUUAACAGACACUGAGACGCGAAAGCCAGGGUAGCAAACGGGAUUAGAGACCCCGGUAGUCCUGGCCGUAAACGAUGUAGACUAGGCGCUUGUCGGGCAAAACCGGUGAGUGUCGAAGCGAACGCGAUAA